AGAGUUUGAUCCUGGCUCAGGACGAACGCUGGCGGCGUGCCUAAUACAUGCAAGUCGAGCGGAUCUUGUCCUUCGGGACAAGAUUAGCGGCGGACGGGUGAGUAACACGUAGGUAACCUGCCCGUAAGACUGGGAUAACAUUCGGAAACGAAUGCUAAUACCGGAUACACAGCUUGGUCGCAUGACCGAGCUGGGAAAGAUGGAGCAAUCUAUCACUUACGGAUGGACCUGCGGCGCAUUAGUUAGUUGGUGAGGUAACGGCUCACCAAGGCGACGAUGCGUAGCCGACCUGAGAGGGUGAUCGGCCACACUGGGACUGAGACACGGCCCAGACUCCUACGGGAGGCAGCAGUAGGGAAUCUUCCGCAAUGGACGAAAGUCUGACGGAGCAACGCCGCGUGAGUGAUGAAGGUUUUCGGAUCGUAAAGCUCUGUUGCCAGGGAAGAACGCUUGGGAGAGUAACUGCUCCCAAGGUGACGGUACCUGAGAAGAAAGCCCCGGCUAACUACGUGCCAGCAGCCGCGGUAAUACGUAGGGGGCAAGCGUUGUCCGGAAUUAUUGGGCGUAAAGCGCGCGCAGGCGGCCUUGUAAGUCUGUUGUUUAAACUCGGGGCUCAACCCCGAGUCGCAAUGGAAACUGCAAAGCUUGAGUGCAGAAGAGGAAAGUGGAAUUCCACGUGUAGCGGUGAAAUGCGUAGAGAUGUGGAGGAACACCAGUGGCGAAGGCGACUUUCUGGGCUGUAACUGACGCUGAGGCACGAAAGCUAGGGUAGCAAACGGGAUUAGAUACCCCGGUAGUCC
rnacentral:rRNA from 1 species